rnacentral:rRNA from 1 species
GUUUGAUCCUGGCUCAGGAUGAACGCUAGCGGCAGGCCUAAUACAUGCAAGUCGAACGGUCGGUAGCAAUACCGAUAGUGGCGCACGGGUGCGUAACGCGUAACCAACCUACCCGAAUCUGGGGGAUAGCCCGCCGAAAGGCGGAUUAAUACCGCAUAAAACUGCAGGACGGCAUCGUUUAACAGUUAAAGAUUUAUUGGAUUCGGAUGGGGUUGCGUGCCAUUAGCUAGUUGGCGGGGUAACGGCCCACCAAGGCGACGAUGGCUAGGGGAGCUGAGAGGCUGGUCCCCCACACGGGCACUGAGAUACGGGCCCGACUCCUACGGGAGGCAGCAGUAGGGAAUAUUGGGCAAUGGGCGAGAGCCUGACCCAGCCAUGCCGCGUGCAGGAUGAAGGCUUUCUGAGUCGUAAACUGCUUUUGCCAGGGAAGAAAAAAGGGGAUGCGUCCUCUACUGACGGUACCUGGUGAAUAAGCACCGGCUAACUCCGUGCCAGCAGCCGCGGUAAUACG